UUUGAAGAUCCCACUCCAAAUCAACCAACAUCAAGAACAGAAAAUUCGGAGCCCUAGCUCUCAUUCUUCACCCCAUCUGCACUGGUUCACACCAGAUUGGAACCCUAGCUCUCCUUCUUCCCUACCAGACUAUUCGGGCCAAUCACUUCACACUAACAACAUCGUUCGUCUAUCCAACAACGGAGGCGAUUACAUACGGUGGCCCCCGCAGUGGAUACGGUUCCGACAUAACCCUCAAGAUCUACGUCUACGAUGAAACAGAAAUUGGCAGCGUUAAAGAGCUGUUGCACGGACAUGACUAAACAUGACUCAAGGGCCGAUUGGGCAGUCAGAUAUUAAGUCAAAACUAGGUUGGAUUGACGAGCAUGAGAUAUAAUUUGCCACAACUAGCUUAGCUUUGGGAAAGGAAGUGUCCAGUAACAAGAAAGAGCAUAGAAAACUGCCAUUCAAGCGCUUAUCAAUGCCUCAGCCACCCAAACUCUUCUUUGGUCUAUCAAGUAUGACUAUUUGAUCCUAAUCAUUAUGUAGAAGUGACAUUUUCGUCCCAUUUGCUUAUGAAUGGGUCUAUUUGUGUUAUAAAUUAUAUCAAACGGGUCUGAUCAUUAACUGUAACUCAAACUGUUUAAUGGUUUGAAAGUUGCCAAAUGUGUAUAUAUAAUUUUGUAGACUUGAGUUUUAGACUUAAAUUGUCAUUGCUAAAGUGGUUGCAGGUUUGUAGACUUGAGUUUUAGAAGUGCAGUAUUAUCAUCCAUUAAAUUUUAAGUGUCUUGCAUUCUAGCAAGUCAACCAUGUAUCAAACUCGAUCACUGCAAAUGAGUGAACGGUUGGUGGUAGAGAACCGGAAAAAGUAUUAAAAUGUUAAGGCUCCUUCAAGAUUUUCUGAAUUUAAAAUAGAGUCUUAUCUUUAAACAAUUGUUUUCCAUAGGGAGAUUAACGAAGUGCAGAAGGGGAGUUGGUGGUGUUCUGAUUUCACUCACGGAUAGCAUCCGAAGCAAACAAAGUAUUUAUUGUCGUUGAGUAACUGAUUAAGGUUUGGUUGAGGUGAUUAUGCAUUAGCUCCUACAACAGGCACCAUUAUGUAAGCCAUUGGAGCAUAUCGGUUUGCUGCUGUUGCAAGUGCUGCUAGUAGAGUGAUGUAGGUUCUGUUGCACUUGUUGCAUCAUUUGGAGAUAUCUUUUGAUAGAAGCUUAUGUAUUUGGCAUUUAAAUUUUAAAUUUAUGUAUGGAUUUUGGUUUAUUAUUGUUAAUAUUAUUUGGUUUUUAAGUUUUCUUAUGUUUGGUG
rnacentral:lncRNA from 1 species